rnacentral:miRNA from 1 species
UAUUUGUGUGGGAUAUGUAUGUAUGUGUGUAUGAACAUUUAUGUAUAUAUGCAUGUACAUACCUAUAUACAUAUACAGAGA